rnacentral:lncRNA from 1 species
AACUCUUUCAUUUUAAUUCCAAAAAAUAUGGGACUAAUUGCAUUAUUUCCCUUUUUAAUUCUAGUUUUUGAAAAUGAUUUUUAAUAUUUUUUAUUUUUUCAUUUGGUAUUUUUUAUGAAUUUUCUCUUUUCUGUUUAUUUUUAAUUCAUUUUAAAUAGUUUUCAAUAUUCAAAAAGUACCAAAAUAUUUUCUUAAUCUAUUUGAAUGAUGAUGGAUCUAUG